rnacentral:lncRNA from 13 species
CCUCAGUCUGUAGGUGAUUGGUACAAUAGGAUACAAGUCUAAGACAACUGAACAAAUAUUGUAACCCAUGCAAUACAAUAAACAUUGAUUUGUGAAUGGAAAAUAUAAUUGUGUAUUCAUCUGUGCUGUUUUGUGUAGUUCCAGGGCCUGUAGAUGGAGCGGGGGGAGAGGGAGGACGAGUGGUCCUGAGCCCACUGGAUGAGAUCCAGCCUGGGAGGAGUGAAUGUGUGCUUGCAGAGCAUGGAGGGUUAGGAGGGCUGUCUGCAACAGACACCACUAGCGCAGCCAAGACAGAGCCCGAAGACCCUGCAGGAGGAUCUGGAAAGGUUGCCCUGUACUCAUUUGACAGCUCCCAGACAGCGAGGAUGAGGACAAAGGCAAGAAGGAAAAGAAGAAGCUAAGGAAGGAUUCCAGUUCAUCCUCCUCCUCCUCUGACAGCAGCUCUUCAGACAGUGAAGUAAGCUAGGCAAAUCUCUUAACAUGUGACCUAAUGUUCAUCAGCAUCACAUCAAGAUCUGGGCUUGAUUGAGCGUGUAUUGUGCAAUGGAACAAAUAGAAAAGUCACAGAAUUGUGAACCCCGCCCAUCUGGCAGUCCAGCCUAAAGCUGCCUGUUUGGAAUGAGUCACUGAUCAAACAGAGAGAGAGAGAGAGAGAGAGUACGUUUUGGUUGGAUUGGGCUGUGCGUUUAGUCUUAGGCAAAUAUCUUGUUCAUGCGAAGCCAAAAGGAGACUUGAAUCCCCCAAGGAAACCAUUAAAGUGAAAGGAAGCCAAAUUGCUUUAUAGAGGGUGUUUUGACAAAGCUGGUAUCUAACCUGAAACCAAUCCAAUGUUGCUUUAAUCCUGGGAAUACUCUUGUCAAGCGUAUCCAAAUGAGGUUCCUUGCCAUGACACACAGCUUUAUAAAGUGGAUGUAGUCUCGUCUUACUACAUUGGGCUGGGCAGUUUUUAUUUGAUAAAAAUGUGACUAAUGAAAUUGCGUUAUUUAAUCUUACUCUUCUCACUUUUAGAUGUCCAAUCAUUUAGAUUGGUCUUUCAUACAAGGAUAAAAACGUGAAACACAUUUUUGGGAAAUUUGUCUUGGGAAAUGAGUGCACCUGUUUAUUUGAAUAGGAAAUCAGUUAAUUUGUUAAGAUUCUUGAUUAUCGAUUGCAGGUACUUUGACGCCACAAUAGAAACUCAACCCGCCAGCACUGUAUGCUGGUCUGGAACAACGGCACCAUGUUCUGUCGGCGUUAGUAAGCAGGAGAAACAGGUUUGCAUGCUUGAGAUAUGUGGGGUUGAAAGACUAGCUGAAAGACUGAAAGCCACAAUGAAACCCAUACGGUAGGCAUGCUGUGACCCUCGGGACCCAGAUCUAAGAUAGGCAUAGGACACCCAGUCAUAACCUGUGGAGCUGGUGCCCACAUGAUCAGGGAUCCUUACCGCUCUUGUGCUUACUCUCUGGAAUAUGCACCGAUAUGAUCUGUCAAAACACUCAAACUAACAAUUAUGCAUGAAUAAUAAAACGAGGAUGGAUACCACUGGGCUGGUUGGAACCUGAGAACCCAUUCUUGUAGAUGCUGACUCGUCAUGCUUGUUUAUUUCUGUUGAAGGACCCUUUUUUUUUUGUCACGGCAGGUCCUGGAAUAAAUCUGUGUUAACUACCCAAUAUGUCUUGAAAGGAAAGUACCCCCAGUGAUCUAAAAGGAGAUGUAGCCAAUGUUCCUGCAGGCACUUUUGUCCAACCUGUCAGGGUAUUGUUUUGUUCUGAUAUGUUAACGUUUAGGUGAAGGAGUCAAACUCGCUAGUGUAGUGACUUCUGUCUGCAGGAAGAGAAGAAGAAAAGGAAGAAGGAAAAGAAAGAAGAUGCUGGGGAUAUCAUAGUACACGGUGUAACCUUCAUAUCUGAGCCUGGUGAGUGAUGCCUGUGUUUAUUUGACCUUUUAUUUAACUAGGCAAGACAGUUAAGAACAAAUUCUUAUUUUCAAUGACGUCCUAGAGAACAGUGGGUUAUCUGCCUUGUUCAGGGGCAGAACGACAGAUUUUUACCUUGUCAGCUUGGGGAUUCGAAGUCCAACGCUCUAACCACUAGGUUACCUGCCGCCCCAUGUGUGUUCGUGAUUGUGUACUGAAAGCUACGCACUGUAGUAAAUGACUGUCUUUAUACACAAAUGACCCACCUUGUAACCAGUGGUGGAAAAAGUACUCAAUUCUCAUACUUGAGUAAAAGUCAAGAUACCUUAACAGAAAAUGACUCAAGUAAAAGUCACCCAGUAAAAUACUACUUGAGUAAAAGUAUUUGGUUUUAAAUAUACUUAAGUAUUAAAAGUAAAUGUAGUUGCUGAAAUAUACUUAAGUAUGAAUAUUUAAAAAUGCCUUAUUAAGCAAACCAGACGGCAUAAUCUUAUUUAUAUUUUUUAUUUACGGAUAGCCAGAUUCACACUCCAACAGUCCGACAUAAUUUAAAAACAAAGCAUUUGUGUUUAGUGAGUCUGCUAGAUCAGAGGCAGUAGGGAUGACCAGGGAUGUUAUCUUGGUAAGUGCGUGAAUUGGACCAUUUUCCUGUCCUGCUAGCCAUUCAAAAUGUAACGAGUACUUUUGGGUGUCAGGGAUAAUGUAUGGAGUAAAAAGUACAUUGUUUUUAGGAAUGUAGUGAAGUAAAAGUUGUCAAAAAUAUAAAUAGUAAAGUACAGACGCCCCAAAAAACGACUUAAGUAGUACUUUAAAGUAUUUUUUUCCUUUAAAGUAUUUUUUUCCUUUAAAGUAUUUUUUUCCUUUAAAGUAUUUUCCUUACCUUUUUCUUUUGCUUCUUCUUCUUUUUCUUCUUCGUGCCAUGGGUCAUCACUGCAGGCUUCGUGCCAUGGGUCAUCACUGCAGGCUUCGUGCCAUGGGUCAUCACUGCAGGCUUCGUGCCAUGGGUCAUCACUGCAGGCUUCGUGCCAUGGGU